CUUGACGGCUACUAAGUUCAGCCAGUCUUAAAAAACUGUGCUGUUUCUACAAAGCUUUAACUACAGUAGUUUAUAAGGAUGCCAACGAAAGCUGAGGGUGUAGAGCAAAAUAGUUCUAAGCUUCAGUUAAACUUCUUUAGCAUUGAUAUGAACCGUGGACAAGUAUAUUCUGCUGCCAUAAAGACUGUAAAGUGCUUCAUUUCAACAGCUGAGGCAAGCCAAGUGAUCAUUAAUAAAGCUUUUCUUGGUUCCUUCAGUGGUGUUGGUAGUAAAAUGGAAGGUGUCUUGCUGCAGGUAACUAAUGAAGAAGUGGUCAACCACAGAGUCUUCAAGAAAUAAGAAAUUCUGUACCAUCUGAAAAUAGUUCUUGGUGCCUUCAUUUAAAAAGCACUCUUUAAGAUUAAAGGGAAACGUUUUCUGAUAAAAAAAAAAGUCAUUUAGUACAGGUUCUUGAUAUAAAACAAUUACAAGUAUUGUUUGUGAAAGUUACAUCAUCAGAUAAAUGUAUCAUGUUUUAAAUUAGGUUUUGUGAGUAGACAGAUCAAAAUUCUAUUUUAAAUACUAAGUUUAUAAAAUAAAUACUUUUGUAUCCAAAUACUUGGUGUAAUGUUUACACAUAAAAUGUGUGAAUCUUGUACUACAAACAUUCAGUUGUCUAAAGGAUUGCCAUCCCCUAGAUAUAUAAAGCAGUUUCACAAAGCUGUGCAUAUUGCCAUUUUCCAAUUUUGAGAGAUGAGAAAAGCAUUGUGGACAUUAUUGGCAGUCCCUAAUAAAAAAUGCCAUUCUUUAUACACUGUA